rnacentral:rRNA from 1 species
CCUACGGGUGGCAGCAGUAGGGAAUAUUCCUCAAUGGGGGAAACCCUGAAGCAGCAACGCCGCGUGGAGGAUGAAGGUUUUAGGAUUGUAAACUCCUUUUGUGAGAGAAGAUAAUGACGGUAUCUCACGAAUAAGCACCGGCUAACUCCGUGCCAGCAGCCGCGGGAAUACGGAGGUUGCAAGCGUUACUCGGAAUCACUGGGCGUAAAGAUUGCGCAGGCGGGCUUGUAAGUCAGAUGUGAAAUCCUGUAGCUUAAAUACAAAACUGCAUUGGAAACUAUGAGUCUAGAGUGUGGGAGAGGUAGGUGGAAUUCUUGGUGUAGGGGUAAAAUGCGUAGAUAUAAAGAGGAAUACUCAUUGCGAAGGCGACCUACUGGAACAUUACUGACGCUGAUGCACGAAAGCGUGGGGAGCAAACAGGAUUAGAUACCCGGGUAGUC